GAUGAAGAACGUAGCGAAAUGCGAUAAGUAAUGUGAAUUGCAGAAUUCAGUGAAUCAUCGAAUCUUUGAACGCACAUUGCGCCCCCUGGUAUUCCGGGGGGCAUGCCUGUCCGAGCGUCAUUACAACCCUCAAGCUCAGCUUGGUGUUGGGCGUCUGUCCCGCUUCGCGCGCGGACUCGCCCCAAAGGUAUUGGCAGCGGUCGUGCCAGCUUCUCGCGCAGCACAUUGCGCUUCUCGAGGCACCGGUGGGCCCGCGUCCAUCAAGCUCACCCCCCCAGUUUGACCUCGGAUCAGGUAGGGAUACCCGCUGAACUUAAGCAUAUCAAUAAGCGGAGGA
rnacentral:misc_RNA from 1 species